rnacentral:rRNA from 2 species
AAAUUGAAGAGUUUGAUCAUGGCUCAGAUUGAACGCUGGCGGCAGGCCUAACACAUGCAAGUCGAGCGGUAGCACAGAGAGCUUGCUCUCGGGUGACGAGCGGCGGACGGGUGAGUAAUGUCUGGGAAACUGCCUGAUGGAGGGGGAUAACUACUGGAAACGGUAGCUAAUACCGCAUAACGUCGCAAGACCAAAGUGGGGGACCUUCGGGCCUCAUGCCAUCAGAUGUGCCCAGAUGGGAUUAGCUAGUAGGUGGGGUAACGGCUCACCUAGGCGACGAUCCCUAGCUGGUCUGAGAGGAUGACCAGCCACACUGGAACUGAGACACGGUCCAGACUCCUACGGGAGGCAGCAGUGGGGAAUAUUGCACAAUGGGCGCAAGCCUGAUGCAGCCAUGCCGCGUGUGUGAAGAAGGCCUUCGGGUUGUAAAGCACUUUCAGCGGGGAGGAAGGCGGUGAGGUUAAUAACCUCAUCGAUUGACGUUACCCGCAGAAGAAGCACCGGCUAACUCCGUGCCAGCAGCCGCGGUAAUACGGAGGGUGCAAGCGUUAAUCGGAAUUACUGGGCGUAAAGCGCACGCAGGCGGUCUGUCAAGUCGGAUGUGAAAUCCCCGGGCUCAACCUGGGAACUGCAUUCGAAACUGGCAGGCUAGAGUCUUGUAGAGGGGGGUAGAAUUCCAGGUGUAGCGGUGAAAUGCGUAGAGAUCUGGAGGAAUACCGGUGGCGAAGGCGGCCCCCUGGACAAAGACUGACGCUCAGGUGCGAAAGCGUGGGGAGCAAACAGGAUUAGAUACCCUGGUAGUCCACGCCGUAAACGAUGUCGAUUUGGAGGUUGUGCCCUUGAGGCGUGGCUUCCGGAGCUAACGCGUUAAAUCGACCGCCUGGGGAGUACGGCCGCAAGGUUAAAACUCAAAUGAAUUGACGGGGGCCCGCACAAGCGGUGGAGCAUGUGGUUUAAUUCGAUGCAACGCGAAGAACCUUACCUGGUCUUGACAUCCACAGAACUUAGCAGAGAUGCUUUGGUGCCUUCGGGAACUGUGAGACAGGUGCUGCAUGGCUGUCGUCAGCUCGUGUUGUGAAAUGUUGGGUUAAGUCCCGCAACGAGCGCAACCCUUAUCCUUUGUUGCCAGCGGUCCGGCCGGGAACUCAAAGGAGACUGCCAGUGAUAAACUGGAGGAAGGUGGGGAUGACGUCAAGUCAUCAUGGCCCUUACGACCAGGGCUACACACGUGCUACAAUGGCAUAUACAAAGAGAAGCGACCUCGCGAGAGCAAGCGGACCUCAUAAAGUAUGUCGUAGUCCGGAUUGGAGUCUGCAACUCGACUCCAUGAAGUCGGAAUCGCUAGUAAUCGUAGAUCAGAAUGCUACGGUGAAUACGUUCCCGGGCCUUGUACACACCGCCCGUCACACCAUGGGAGUGGGUUGCAAAAGAAGUAGGUAGCUUAACCUUCGGGAGGGCGCUUACCACUUUGUGAUUCAUGACUGGGGUGAAGUCGUAACAAGGUAACCGUAGGGGAACCUGCGGUUGGAUCACCUCCUUACCUUAAAGAA